rnacentral:rRNA from 1 species
UACGUAGGGUGCAAGCGUUAAUCGGAAUUACUGGGCGUAAAGGGCGCGCAGGCGGUCGCUCAAGUCAGGCGUGAAAGCCCCCGGGCCUCAACCUGGGAAUAGCGCUUGAGACUGAGCGACUUGAGUUCGGGAGAGGAGAGCGGAAUUCCCAGUGUAGAGGUGAAAUUCGUAGAUAUUAGGGAAGAACACCGGGUGGCGAAGGCGGCUCUCUGGACCGACACUGACGCUGAGGCGCGAAAGCGUGGGGAGCAA